rnacentral:rRNA from 1 species
GGAGGAAAAGAAACCAACAGGGAUUGCCCCAGUAACGGCGAGUGAAGCGGCAAGAGCUCAAAUUUGAAAGCUGGCUCCUUCGGGGUCCGCAUUGUAAUUUGCAGAGGAUGCUUCGGGAGCGGUCCCCAUCUAAGUGCCCUGGAACGGGACGUCAUAGAGGGUGAGAAUCCCGUAUGGGAUGGGGUGUCCGCGCCCGUGUGAAGCUCCUUCGACGAGUCGAGUUGUUUGGGAAUGCAGCUCUAAAUGGGUGGUAAAUUUCAUCUAAAGCUAAAUAUUGGCCGGAGACCGAUAGCGCACAAGUAGAGUGAUCGAAAGAUGAAAAGCACUUUGAAAAGAGAGUUAAAAAGCACGUGAAAUUGUUGAAAGGGAAGCGCUUGCGACCAGACUCGCUCGCGGGGUUCAGCCGGCAUUCGUGCCGGUGUAUUUCCCCGCGGGCGGGCCAGCGUCGGUUUGGGCGGUCGGUCAAAGGCCCUCGGAAGGUAACGCCCCUAGGGGCGUCUUAUAGCCGAGGGUGCAAUGCGACCUGCCUAGACCGAGGAACGCGCUUCGGCUCGGACGCUG